CUUGCAGUUCCUUGGUUCAAUGUAUUCCCUAAAUAAAGAAUCUUCUUCAUAAUUUCCUUCAACUUGAGGGAAUUCCGAACCUCGUCACAAGCAGAGUUUACUGUGUUUAAGCUCUUUUUAAAUUCUGUUAUCUGAGAGCCGAACUGAAUCUUGAAAGAAAAUACUCUCAUUUUUGACUCAACACGAGGCACUUUCAUCAGCUCCAGAAAAUACUGUUCACACUU
rnacentral:misc_RNA from 1 species